rnacentral:rRNA from 1 species
GUCCACGCCCUAAACGAUGCACGUUUGGUGUGGGUGAUUCAGUUCAUCCGUGCCGGAGCUAACGCGUUAAACGUGCCGCCUGGGGAGUACAGUCGCAAGGCUGAAACUCAAAGGAAUUGACGGGGGCCCGCACAAGCGGUGGAGCAUGUGGUUCAAUUCGACGCAACGCGAAGAACCUUACCUGGGCUCGAACGGCCGGUCAACGGAGGUGGAAACAUCUUUACCCCGCAAGGGGGUCCGGUCGAGGUGCUGCAUGGCUGUCGU